AUUGAACGCUGGCGGCAUGCCUAACACAUGCAAGUCGAACGGCAGCACGGCAGUAGCAAUACUGUGGGUGGCGAGUGGCGGACGGGUGAGGAAUACGUCGGAAUCUGCCCAGUCGUGGGGGAUAACUAGCCGAAAGGUUAGCUAAUACCGCAUACGACCGAGAGGUGAAAGCGGGGGACCGCAAGGCCUCGCGCGAUUGGAUGAGCCGACGUCGGAUUAGCUAGUUGGUGGGGUAAAGGCCACCAAGGCGACGAUCCGUAGCUGGUCUGAGAGGAUGAUCAGCCACACUGGAACUGAGACACGGUCCAGACUCCUACGGGAGGCAGCAGUGGGGAAUAUUGGACAAUGGGCGCAAGCCUGAUCCAGCAAUGCCGCGUGUGUG
rnacentral:rRNA from 1 species